GCCGGCCUACCAGGCCCCGCCUCGUACCCGCCUCCAGGAGCCCCGCCCCCGCGCCAUCUUGGCCCCGCCCCGCCCCCGGGGUCCCUCCCGCGGUCCGGAUGGGAGUGUCUGCCCGAGCCGGGUCAGCGCGGGUCGCAGAUCCGUCUGCUGGGGGAGGCCUGGCCUCUUCUCCGUGCGGCGCAGGCCACGUCCACCAGCCCUUCCAGGGCCUCCGGGAGCCGCGGACAGCGCCUCGCGGGGCCUCGUCGUGCGGCCUGCGAGAGGACCCAGAGGUGCAGUCCUGGGAGCCGCCUGGGCUCCGGGGAAGCCGGGCCGGUGUGCACGGACGCCGCCUCUCAGUCUCCCGCGGCUGCCCUGGAGGACGGUGGCUGCCCUGCGAGCGAGCGGCAGGUAGCCCGGCUCGUCCGGAGACCACGCCAGGACGCGGCUUUGGGCUCGGUCCAGCUCGGCUUCGCAGGGUCACCGCCCUCUCUGGCACGCGAGGACCCCCCCCCCCCCCGAAAAGAUUACCUUUUUAUUUUUAGGACAGUUUAAGUAUUUCGUCUGAUUAUAACCCAGUACUGUAGGCUCGGACUAAUGCCUUCCGAGGUUGGAUCAUUUUUGUGUGUUUGCUCCUUAUUUUGGAAGAGCCCGGACCAGAGAUGCGUUCGCUGGCCUUUCUCUUAAAGUUUUAAUCACGCAAGAAAGACACGAAUCACUGAUUGCAGUUGUAGGAUACUCGACAUGACGCAAAGUUCCAAACGUUCCCCUCCGCCCCACCACUGUACUCCAGUUUCGUUCGUCAGUACCCGUUUUUCUAUGCAUUCAUAAACAUCAGCACGUCACUGGAAACGUGAUCCGUUCGAAUUCCGUUGCAUCGACCCGUGUGUCUACAGCAGAGUGGACGUACUGAAGCGGUUGGAAACAGAAGCCUGGAGGGCUGGUCCUGGAGCUCCUCAGUCCCCUGGCACCCAGCCUCCUCCUUACCCUGCUCCAUUCUACAGGCCGUGGUUUCUAUCCUCAAGUUCACUGCGGGUUCCGCAAUGGUGACUAGAGCCCCUGCGACGAGAAGGUGGAAGGAGGGGAGGUGUCAAGGAGCCCACUUUUCUACCAAGUUCGCUUCCUUUAAGCAGCCUGCUCAGUUCUGCCUAUAUCUGGCCAGAGCCGAGCCCUGCAGAGAGAGAGGAGGCUGGGAGACUGUCUUCUAGUUGUAUACAUUGUCACCCCAGAUAAAAGCGGGAUUGUGUUAUCUCGGGAAGAGAGGAGGUGGCUGUGGAUGUGUCUGUGCCUCCCUUUCACCCUGAGGACAAUUGUGUGUGAAUUCUGUCCCGCUGAAGAGCUGGGUGACUUUGCCUGUCCCCAUGCAUGCAUCUCUAUGUAUACAGAUGAUGACAUUUUUUACUGACAUGGAGCAGAGUCUCUAAGAAAAAGAGGUGUUUUUUUUUUUUCCCCUUUCCUUUUCUUUUCUGAAAUCAUAGGGGAAAUGUCAUAAGCUUUCUCCCCAGGGCACACGGCUCCACCCAGUGGCUCGCAGCCCUGUCCCGGUUCAGUCACGGCUAAAACACAUGAGCAGCUGUGGUCGGUCAUGUGCUCUGCUGGGAGGGGUCCUGCCGGUCAUUUAUUUUGCCAGCUGCCAAGCGAAGGUGCAAAAGUGUGGAGAGUACUGGGCCACAGAAUCUGGUUAUACGGGGGUGGGGGGGAAGGGGGGGAGAGGGUCAUUUAGUGUUUCACAGAAAUUCUUGGGAUCGUAUAAAAAAAAUUCCACGGCUACUGACUUUCAUUGAAGGAACAAAUCAAUUCAGUUUAUAAUCCACGGAUAUGAAAACAUCUGGAUUGAUUUUUCACUGUCACCAUUUUGGUGUUUGGAAGUUGACUCAGUUCAACUCGGUGAGAAUUUAUCUAUCGAGGGCCUGCGGUCCAGCAGAUGAGGCACUGAUGGAAUGAUUGAUGUAGCAGGGUCCCCGCUUGAAACAGCAGAGGAGAUAAAGGAUACGAGUCGGUGUCAUGCGGGUUCCAGGAGGUCAGGACCUGAAGGGAGGAUCUGAUGGUAAUAAUAUCCCCGUUUUAAAUAAGAGGAAAUGCUGGUUUGGGAACUAUAUCAUUCAUCAGGGGUCCCAGGUGCCUCGGAUGAUAAGAUGUCUCUUUCUCCCAUGUAGCACCCACUGGGGUAAUCGCCGAGCCAGUCACAUCGUGAAACUGGGCAAGAGCCACUGGAAAGGACUCUGGAGGCAGGGGUGCUCAGAUGGGAUGAGAGAGGAUGUGACCAGGCCUGAGGCAGGGCUGUAGGGCAGGAGAGGAGGGGAGCCCAAGUGAGAGGGAUGGCAUGGUCAUGGGCUAAAGGAAGCCACGAACUUCUCACUGCUCGGGGGUUUAAUACUAACCCCACCUCCAAGUGGUUCAGUGACUGCAGAUGGUAAAAUUGAAUCUCACAUCCAGCCGUCUGGAUAAUCUGGGUUUAUCCUGGCUGGUGGCACUCAGCAACAGAGCGGGGAGGCCUGGCCUGAAGGCUUCGAAAAGACGCCUGCGGUGUCGGGAACCAGGCAGUUGUGAUGUUCGGGAUGCUGAAAAGCGGAACAGCGUACGUACUCAUCCAUCAGAACAGGCGCUUGUGACCUAAGGGAUACAGCGUGGUUUUGGAGGCUCUGGUGCACCAAACAUUAACCAUUUAAGUCUGAAUCUUGGAGACCAAUGGAAGGAGGGUCCAGGGGGUGGAGCUAACGUGGACAUGGGGAGACCAUGGCUCUUUACCAUCUUCACUUGGCUACUUCUGAAUCCAGUGCAAGGAGAGGCAAAAUAGAGUCUCCCGAGGUUUAGCUGCCCCUCAGUUUACUCACAUGCAGCAAUUCCAGAUUUCCAGAAGAGACGUGACUGCCCCAGGCUAUGGUGAGAGUCCAUCCCUGAUCACCUGAUUAUUUGUGAACAGAAGAGUAGGACUCAUCUAAUGAGACAACAGUUAAAACCCGUGUUUGCCAAACACGGUGACAGUAAGUAGGCAAAAAGUACAUUAAGCUCCGACAGGGUAGAGACAAAACUAGCUUACAACUCAGCAAGGAAAAGACAAACUCCCCGGCAGAAGAAGGGGAAAGGCCACGCACAGUAUCUUUAUUUGUGCAACAUCAGUUCAUGGCCAACUUAUACAUGAACAAAAACUGCAGAACCUCACUAUGUAGCGAAGAAAUGCAAAUUCAAACAAGAUAUAGAAGUUUACCCGUCAUCUGGGCUAGAAUAUAAAUUCAAGUCCUGUGCACUGUUGACAAUGCUCAGGGAAUAAGUAGUCCCAUUCGCUUCCAGGGGUCCAGUCUUUCGCUUCUGAGUCCAGUCUCACUGACUCCAGUCAGUGAGAACGAGGUGAAAAGUAUCAAAAUCCUAAAAAAGAAAAAAAAAGUCCAUGAUCUGGAGAAUCUGAAAGAUCACCCUGGAAUUAGCAAAUCUGCUUCCAAGAACGGACUCCAAGAAGACAGACGAUGAAAACAAGGUACUGCAAAUAAAUUCGAGUGGUUACCAUGUGGCACAAAGUCCCCCGAGUCCUUUAGAUGUAUGGUUUCAUUCGGCCCUUGUCAUAAUCCUAUGUCCCGCUUUCCACAAAGCAGGAGGACCUGACAUGCUCAGCGACUUCAGACUGUGAAAAACCUACACGUACAGAUGGCAAACUGUAGCCCACGUAUGCAAUGGAAAACAUCACAGUCAUUACCUAGGAUUCAUAGGUGUUCAUCUGUUCAUAUUAAAAAUGUUCGUUUGAAUUGUUAAUUAAAAUGUUAUAGAACGGUAUUAAAAUCAUACAGCUAUGCAUAUGUCUGCAUAGGAAAAUA